ACGAACGCUGGCGGCGUGCCUAACACAUGCAAGUCGAGCGGGCUGGAGGUCGGAGGUCAGAGGUCGGAGUGCCGGAAAACAUAAAGGAAAUUGCUUGAGCAAUUUCUAAUAGUAAUCUGGUUCACUGGCUUCCGACUUCCGACCUCCAGCUAGCGGCGAACGGGUGAGUAACACGUGGGCAAAUCUAUCUGGAAGACCCGGGAUAACAGCUCGAAAGGGCUGCUAAUACCGGAUAACCCCCGGCGGAUCGCAUGGUCUGCCGGGCAAAGGUUGGUAACUUCGCUUCCGGGUGAGCCCGCGCCUCAUUAGCUAGUUGGUAGGGUAAUGGCCUACCAAGGCGACGAUGAGUAGCUG
rnacentral:rRNA from 1 species